rnacentral:rRNA from 1 species
CUACGGGGUGCUGCAGUGAGGAAUAUUGCACAAUGGGGGGAACCCUGAUGCAGCAACGCCGCGUGGAGGAUGACGCAUUUCGGUGUGUAAACUCCUUUUAUAUGUCAAGAAAAUGACGGUAGCAUAUGAAUAAGCACCGGCUAACUCCGUGCCAGCAGCCGCGGUAAUACGGAGGGUGCAAGCGUUACUCGGAAUCACUGGGCGUAAAGGACGCGUAGGCGGGUUGGAAAGUCAGGUGUGAAAUCCUACAGCUUAACUGUAGAACAGCACUUGAAACUUCUAAUCUAGAGUAUGGGAGGGGGAGAUGGAAUUAGUGGUGUAGGGGUAAAAUCCGUAGAUAUCACUAGGAACACCUAAAGCGAAGGCGAUCUCCUGGAACAUUACUGACGCUAAGGCGUGAAAGCGUGGGGAGCAAACAGGAUUAGAUACCCCGGUAGUC